rnacentral:lncRNA from 1 species
AAUGAAUGCCUUUCUUUUAAAAUAAAAUGCAUAUGUGUUUAUUAUUUUUAGAGUUAUUUCAGUUCAUGAGAAACUAUCUAAUCUUACGCAAAUUGCUGAAAUAUCAUUGCCAACAACUCCUAAAGUUACUUCAAAUGAAAAUUUACAUGAAGUAGAGGAAACAGAAGAGAAAUCAAUUGAUGCAGAAAUGGAAAACAUGAUUAUUGUCUGUUGCAAUGAAAUAGUAUCUUUGUUUUUGGGUGAUGAAAUGGCAACUCCACUAUCUGAGGUCCCAUUUGAUGUCUCGCUGCCAUCUAUAUUCAGUCUGGAGAGACUUUUUGAUCUUGCUAGUGGCUGUAUCAUAUCGGGAGGAAGCCUUUUCAACUGGGUGGUGUCAAUUAUUCCCUGAACAUCCUUUGUAUGUUAGCCUUAUAAAGGGAUUGUUAUUUCUUCACUUGGUUUGUAAUAAACUUUCAGAGCUAUCCUCUUAUACUAAGCAAAAUAAAAUUGCUUUUUUUUAUACAAGCU